GACCGACUAACAAUGAUCAGUAUCUACGAACAGACAAGGAGCUUGCUCCUUUGACGUUAGCGGCGGACGGGUGAGUAACACGUGGGUAACCUACCUAUAAGACUGGGAUAACUUCGGGAAACCGGAGCUAAUACCGGAUAAUAUUUCGAACCGCAUGGUUCGAUAGUGAAAGAUGGUUUUGCUAUCACUUAUAGAUGGACCCGCGCCGUAUUAGCUAGUUGGUAAGGUAACGGCUUACCAAGGCGACGAUACGUAGCCGACCUGAGAGGGUGAUCGGCCACACUGGAACUGAGACACGGUCCAGACUCCUACGGGAGGCAGCAGUAGGGAAUCUUCCGCAAUGGGCGAAAGCCUGACGGAGCAACGCCGCGUGAGUGAUGAAGGUCUUCGGAUCGUAAAACUCUGUUAUUAGGGAAGAACAUACGUGUAAGUAACUAUGCACGUCUUGACGGUACCUAAUCAGAAAGCCACGGCUAACUACGUGCCAGCAGCCGCGGUAAUACGUAGGUGGCAAGCGUUAUCCGGAAUUAUUGGGCGUAAAGCGCGCGUAGGCGGUUUUUUAAGUCUGAUGUGAAAGCCCACGGCUCAACCGUGGAGGGUCAUUGGAAACUGGAAAACUUGAGUGCAGAAGAGGAAAGUGGAAUUCCAUGUGUAGCGGUGAAAUGCGCAGAGAUAUGGAGGAACACCAGUGGCGAAGGCGACUUUCUGGUCUGUAACUGACGCUGAUGUGCGAAAGCGUGGGGAUCAAACAGGAUUAGAUACCCUGGUAGUCCACGCCGUAAACGAUGAGUGCUAAGUGUUAGGGGGUUUCCGCCCCUUAGUGCUGCAGCUAACGCAUUAAGCACUCCGCCUGGGGAGUACGACCGCAAGGUUGAAACUCAAAGGAAUUGACGGGGACCCGCACAAGCGGUGGAGCAUGUGGUUUAAUUCGAAGCAACGCGAAGAACCUUACCAAAUCUUGACAUCCUUUGACAACUCUAGAGAUAGAGCCUUCCCCUUCGGGGGACAAAGUGACAGGUGGUGCAUGGUUGUCGUCAGCUCGUGUCGUGAGAUGUUGGGUUAAGUCCCGCAACGAGCGCAACCCUUAAGCUUAGUUGCCAUCAUUAAGUUGGGCACUCUAAGUUGACUGCCGGUGACAAACCGGAGGAAGGUGGGGAUGACGUCAAAUCAUCAUGCCCCUUAUGAUUUGGGCUACACACGUGCUACAAUGGACAAUACAAAGGGCAGCGAAACCGCGAGGUCAAGCAAAUCCCAUAAAGUUGUUCUCAGUUCGGAUUGUAGUCUGCAACUCGACUACAUGAAGCUGGAAUCGCUAGUAAUCGUAGAUCAGCAUGCUACGGUGAAUACGUUCCCGGGUCUUGUACACACCGCCCGUCACACCACGAGAGUUUGUAACACCCGAAGCCGGUGGAGUAACCAUUUGGAGCUAGCCGUCG
rnacentral:rRNA from 1 species